CCUACGGGAGGCAGCAGUGAGGAAUAUUGGUCAAUGGGCGCGAGCCUGAACCAGCCAAGUCGCGUGAGGGAAGACGGUCCUAUGGAUUGUAAACCUCUUUUGUCGGGGAGCAAAAGACGCCACGCGUGGCGGUCCGAGAGUACCCGAAGAAAAAGCAUCGGCUAACUCCGUGCCAGCAGCCGCGGUAAUACGGAGGAUGCGAGCGGUAUCCGUAUUUAUUGGGUUAAAAGGGUGCGAAGGCGGAAGAUCAAUUCAACGGUAAAAUUGAGGGGCGUAACCUCUGCGAGCCGUUGAAACUGGUUGUCUUGAGUGAGUGAGAAGUAUGCGGAAUGCGUGGUGUAGCGGUGAAAUGCAUAGAUAUCACGCAGAACUCCGAUUGCGAAGGCAGCAUACCGGCGCUCAACUGACGCUCAUGCACGAAAGUGUGGGUAUCGAACAGGAUUAGAUACCCUUGUAGUC
rnacentral:rRNA from 1 species